rnacentral:lncRNA from 12 species
GCCCUUGGCCCAGGGUGAGACCCUGGAGUCCCGGGAUCGAGUCCUCCAUCAGGCGCCCCACAGGGAUUGUGCUUCUCCCUCUGCCUGUGUCUCUCUGUGUCUCUUAUUUAUAAAUAAAUAAAAUCCUAAAAAAAUAAAAUAAAUAAAACCACGAUGGAUACCACCGCACACCUAUUAAAAUGGCUGAGAGUAGGAAGACCCACCGCAGCCUCGGUCAGCCGAUGGCCACCACCCCGGGAGGGCGUGUCCAGGUAGGCCACGAGCUGCGGGGUAUUUACCGAGACAAAGGAAAGCAUGUGUCCUCGCAGAGACUCGAAUACAGAUGGUUGUAGCAGCUGUUCCUGUGACAGCCCCAAGCUGGACUCCACCACCCGUGUCCUUCAAUAGGGUUCGACCCCGUCCCCAACUGCCCCAAAGGACACCAGCCCCGUUCAACGAUCUGAAGUUACAUGAAGGGCUCCAUCAGGGUUUUCAUUUAUUCAUUCAUGAGACACAAGAGAGGCAGAAGCAGAGACACAGGCAGUGGGAGAAGCAGGGAGCGCUACGUGGGACUCCAGGAUCACGCCCCGGGCCAAAGGCAGGCGCCAAACCGCUGCGCCCCCCAGGGACCUCUAUCUUAUUUUUUUAAUUGAAGUUCGAUUUGACUUAAAAUCUUUUAAAGAAAAUUCUCUUUUCAAAAUUAAAUAUAAUUACCUCCCUUCUAAGCAAAAAGGGAAACUUUAUUUAACGUUUCUCUAUAAGGUUACGUGGCCAGCAUGUUAUGUCCCAUUUUCACAGGGGUUCAGUUUGGGGGGGUGCAGCGGCUCUGCUGGAGAGGCGGGGGCGCAGGGACCCUUCCCUGCGGGGGCGGAGGCCUUGGGGGGAGGCCGUGGGGAGGGAGGCAGUGGGGACGGGG